GUUUAGGUUAGUCGUUCCUUCUUUUUCUUCCGUAGUCACGAGGAAGUUCAAUAUCGUCUUCACUCAUCCUGAGAAGUUUACUCCCGUCUUGACUCACCAGCGAAGUUCAUCCUCAAAGUUCACUCUCGUCACCCAUUCAUCUGCAUACACUUUACUUCGUUCAUCAGCAAAUCCUCUUCUCUAUUCAUCCCCAAAUCAUAAAUCCUAGAUCCCUCUCUUCUUUCUUGCGAUUGAUGGAGAUCCCAGAGCACAAUGAUUGUGGUAGUGUUUGUAGUGAUUCUUACCGCUGGAUACCUAGGUAUCACUGUUGCAUUGUUAUGUUAGGAGGAGAUUGUGAUCGAGGCUAGGCACUUCGUGUCAAGAAGGUUGUUGCUUCUAUGAAGUCUCUCUAUAGCAGAAUAUUCAAGUCACAUCCCAUCAGCACAACACUAAGAGGAGAGCUCUCGUACACGGUAGUAUCUUUUGCCACCAGGUCAGAGAAAAUCAUUGCACAAUGAUAAAGCUUAUGUUUGCAUUUCACUUAGAAUUUAGCUCAAAAUCACUCCGAAAUGUGUAAUCAAACAUGUGGAAAUUGUAGCACUGUGUUUCAUUGUAAUAAUGUUCUGCUAUCAUCUGUCUUUAAGCAUUUUGAGUUUAUCCAUAAACAGUUUACAAAAAAUAAA